AGGUCGUAACAAGGUUUCCGUAGGUGAACCUGCGGAAGGAUCAUUACGGUAUUCUUUUGCCAGCGCUUAAUUGCGCGGCGAAAAACCUUACACACUAUGUUUUUUUAAUUUGAAACUAUUGCUUUGGUCUGGCUUAGAAAUAGGUUGGGCCAAAGGUUUUAUCAAAACUUCAAUAUUUAUUAUUGAAUUGUUAUUUUUAAUUUUAUGUCAAUUUGUUGAUUAAUAUCAAAAAUCUUCAAAA
rnacentral:misc_RNA from 1 species